rnacentral:misc_RNA from 1 species
UACGGAAGGGGCAAGCGUUGUUCGGAAUCAUUGGGCGUAAAGCGCGCGCAGGCGGACGCCGCAAGUCGGGAGUGAAAGACCGGGGCUCAACCCCGGGCAUGCUUCCGAUACUGCGGGUCUAGGGACCGGUAGAGGCCGGUGGAAUUCCCGGUGUAGCGGUGGAAUGCGUAGAUAUCGGGAAGAACACCCGUGGCGAAGGCGGCUGGCUGGGCCGGAUCCGACGCUGAGGCGCGAAAGCGUGGGGAGCAAACAGG